GCUCGAUUUUUAAGCACUGCUGGAGUGACACAAAUCAUCGUGCUCGUCACUGACGUCAUUGAUUGCGUCAUUUCAGGAUUACGACGGAUACCGGCAUUUAUACGCUAAUUGGGUGGUCGGAUGGGUCGCUGUAUGCCCACAUUUCUUCGCACGCAGCAUCGCCGGUUGUAACGGUUCUCCGGUAGGCGAUUCCUUCCCAUGUUCCACCACAUCCUGCACGUAAACACGGGCUAGGGCAAGUCCUUGGCAGAACUCCGUGAGAUUAACACUUUCUAACAGAUAAACUGCUUCCAGAGAACGGUCUCUAUUACUGGUCAUUACAACGGCCCGGUAUUCAACGCAUUCAACCUCAAUUUAAAUCCUAACAGCUGUGGGUCGUAGGUGUGAGACUCGCAUACAAUGUACGCAAACGAUGACGAAGCUUUUGACUGUCGACAACACACAAGUAGCAUGGCAAUUUAACCGGACGCGAUGUUGAAUAGCUAGACAAGGGGGCAAGGGGGCAAGGGUCCGUGCUUACCACCAGUACUGCAGACGGUUAACAGUGGUUCCUCACAGUUGUACCAGCUAGAUUCACAUGGUAUCUAUGCUGCUGCAUACAGGCCGCCUUAAACACUGGGGCUAAUAGUCGCCUGCAUUUGUGAAGAAUCGUUGGCGCUUAGCUAGCUGCCUGCGUUUUGUUGAGCAGGAUCCAUCAAUCUACGUCCGUAAAAAGUGGUUUGGUAGGCCUGUAAGAUGGAGAAAAUGCUUUAAAUUUUCUGGACGCUUACCAUCUCCAGGAGUCGAACCGUACCAUCAUACCCUACCACACACAAGAUCCAAUUGAGCAGGCUGAUUCACAAGAAAGAUUUUAACCCAGUUUUGGGGGGAAAUAGGGCACGUAUACAUAUUUGUUGCAUAGAUUUGAAGCUAUAGGGUUUAAUAUUUUUCUUAAACCGUAC